rnacentral:rRNA from 1 species
GACUAGAGUAGCACUCGCAUAUCAAUAAGCGGAGGAAAAGAAACUAACAAGGAUUCCCCUAGUAACGGCGAGUGAAGCGGGAAGAGCUCAAAUAUGAAAUCUUAAAGGGUUUCCCUUUACGAAUUGUAGUUUAAAGAGGUGUUUUCUGUUGAGGUUUUGGUAAAAGCUCUUUGGAAUAGGACAUCAUAGAGGGUGAGAAUCCCGUAUUUGACCUUUACUUUCAACUUUGUGAUACACUUUCAAAGAGUCGGAUUGUUUGGGAAUGCAGUCCAAAAUGGGUGGUAAAUUUCAUCUAAAGCUAAAUAUUGGCGAGAGACCGAUAGCGAACAAGUACCGUGAGGGAAAGAUGAAAAGAACUUUGAAAAGAGAGUUAAACAGUACGUGAAAUUGUCAAAAGGGAAGCGUUUGACACCAGUGUUGUUUUUCUGAAAAUCAAUUAAAGAACUGUUUAUGCUAAGCUUGUUUAGACUUUAUCAGCUAUCUGUUUAGUUUUGAGCUUUUCUUUAAUGCACUUUUCAGUUAACAAGUCAACAUCAAUUUCUUUUGCUGUAAAAAAGCUUGAGGAAGGUGGCUUGAGAUUCGUCUUAAGUGUUUAUAGCCUCUUGCCUAUGCAGUCGGAGAGAUUGAGGUCUGCAGCGUAGAUCCUUCGGGGCUAAAUGCAUCUGUGCUAAGUUAUAGCAUUUUAUAGACAACUUGUUGACUAUGAUUUGUCUUGUAGCUUACUCGCUUAUGUUAUUUUACCUACGCUUAGGAUGUUGAACUACUGAGACAUAGA